UGUCCCCAUCCAACCCAGCUUCCUGCAUAACCUCCCCACCACCGGCUGCCCUAGGUCUGUCUGUGUGCCUCCCACACAGGAAACUCACCUGUCAGGCUGCCAGCUCUGUGUUUUGCAUUGAGUGGCCUCUCAUACCCACCGGCCUACAUAAACCACCCUGGGUUUCAGCUUCCGGAUUGCUGAAGGUCUGGGUGGUAGGGUGAGGGAGGCUCUUCCUUUUUGCCCUCCACAUGAGCUGAGCACCCUGGGUGUUUCACAGGGGCUGGCUGUGGGCAAUGGACUCUCCUCCUAUGAGCAGAAUGACAACUCCCUGGUCUACUUUGCCUACUACCAUGGCCUUCUGGGGAACAGGCUUUGGUCUUCUCUCCAGACCCACUGCUGCUCUCAAAACAAGUGUAACUUCUAUGACAACAAAGACCUGGAAUGCGUGACCAAUCUUCAGGAAGUGGCCCGCAUCGUGGGCAACU
rnacentral:lncRNA from 1 species